rnacentral:rRNA from 1 species
AGAGUUUGAUCCUGGCUCAGGACGAACGCUGGCGGCGUGCUUAACACAUGCAAGUCGAGCGGAAAGGCCCUUCGGGGUACUCGAGCGGCGAACGGGUGAGUAACACGUGAGCAACCUGCCCCUGGCUCUGGGAUAGCUCCGGGAAACCGGGAUUAAUACCGGAUAUGACCUGCUUACGCAUGUUUGCGGGUGGAAAGUUUUUCGGCUGGGGAUGGGCUCGCGGCCUAUCAGCUUGUUGGUGGGGUGAUGGCCUACCAAGGCGACGACGGGUAGCCGGCCUGAGAGGGCGGGCGGCCACACUGGGACUGAGACACGGCCCAGACUCCUACGGGAGGCAGCAGUGGGGAAUAUUGCGCAAUGGGCGGAAGCUGACGCAGCGACGCCGCGUGGGGGAUGAAGGCCUUCGGGUUGUAAACCUCUUUCACCAGGGGCGAAGCGAAAGUGACGGUACCUGGAGAAGAAGCGCCGGCUAACUACGUGCCAGCAGCCGCGGUAAUACGUAGGGCGCAAGCGUUGUCCGGAAUUAUUGGGCGUAAAGAGCUCGUAGGCGGCCAGUUGCGUCUGCUGUGAAAUCCCGGGGCUUAACCCUGGGCGUGCAGUGGAUACGGGCUGGCUGGAGGCAGGCAGGGGAGAAUGGAAUUCCCGGUGUAGCGGUGAAAUGCGCAGAUAUCGGGAGGAACACCGGUGGCGAAGGCGGUUCUCUGGGCCUGUUCUGACGCUGAGGAGCGAAAGCGUGGGGAGCGAACAGGAUUAGAUACCCCGGUAGUCC